AUCGCUUCUCGGCCUUUUGGCUAAGAUCAAGUGUAGAAUUACAUUAAAUUUUGUUUUCUACAUGUCUGCCUUUU
rnacentral:snRNA from 1 species